rnacentral:rRNA from 1 species
UACGGAGGGUGCGAGCGUUGUCCGGAAUCACUGGGCGUAAAGGGCGCGUAGGCGGCCUGAUAAGUAGGGGGUGAAAUCCUGCGGCUUAACCGCGGGGCUGCCUUCUAAACUGUCAGGCUGGAGCACAGUAGAGGCAGGUGGAAUUCCCGGUGUAGCGGUGGAAUGCGUAGAGAUCGGGAAGAACAUCAGUGGCGAAGGCGGCCUGCUGGGCUGUUGCUGACGCUGAGGCGCGAAAGCCAGGGGAGCGAACGGG